rnacentral:rRNA from 1 species
GUCCACGCCGUAAACGAUGAAUGCCAGUCGUCGGGUAGCAUGCUAUUCGGUGACACACCUAACGGAUUAAGCAUUCCGCCUGGGGAGUACGGCCGCAAGGUUAAAACUCAAAGGAAUUGACGGGGGCCCCGCACAAGCGGUGGAGCAUGUGGUUUAAUUCGAAGCAACGCGCAGAACCUUACCAACCCUUGACAUGGGUAUCGCGGGGCCAGAGAUGGUCCUUUCAGUUCGGCUGGAUACCACACAGGUGCUGCAUGGCUGUCGU